AAUAAUUCCCCAUCAAUACUUUAAAUUAUAUAUGUAGUAUUUAAUGUGUAUAUUUAUAUUGUACUAUACAGGGCGCAUUUGGAAAAGAGACAUACGUCUCAAUAUGUCUUCCCUGUCAAAAUAAAGGUUAAAUAAAUAUAUACAAUUCAUGAAAUAUAGGUGGGAGGGCGUACAGGCUGUGGUCAAUUUAUUAAUGAACAGAUAGGUGGGAGGGCGUACAGGCUGUGGUCAAUUUAUUAAUGAACAGAUAGGUGGGAGGACAUACAGGCUGUGGUCAAUUUAUUAAUGAACAGAUAGGUGGGAGGGCGUACAGGCUGUGGUCAAUUUAUUAAUGAACAGAUAGGUGGGAGGGCGUACAGGCUGUGGUCAAUUUAUUAAUUAACAGAUAGGUGGGAGGGCGUACAGGCUGUGGUCAAUUUAUUAAUGAACAGAUAGGUGGGAGGACAUACAGGCUGUGGUCAAUUUAUUAUACAAAACAUGGGUGAAAGGGUGUACAAUUUAUUAAUGAAACAUGGU